GAGCUUAAAGCUAGGCGU
rnacentral:misc_RNA from 1 species